UUAAUUGAAACCAAAAAGAGGUAUACCACUGUUAAUGGUUCCAUUAAGCUUAAGCUUCAAUUAAU
rnacentral:tRNA from 1 species